CGUACACUCCUACGGGAGGCAGCAGUGGGGAAUAUUGCACAAUGGGCGCAAGCCUGAUGCAGCGACGCCGCGUGGGGGAUGAAGGCCUUCGGGUUGUAAACUCCUUUCGCUAGGGACGAAGCUUUUUUGUGACGGUACCUAGAUAAGAAGCACCGGCUAACUACGUGCCAGCAGCCGCGGUAAUACGUAGGGUGCGAGCGUUGUCCGGAAUUACUGGGCGUAAAGGGCUCGUAGGUGGUUUGUCGCGUCGUCUGUGAAAUUCUGGGGCUUAACUCCGGGCGUGCAGGCGAUACGGGCAUAACUUGAGUGCUGUAGGGGUAACUGGAAUUCCUGGUGUAGCGGUGAAAUGCGCAGAUAUCAGGAGGAACACCGAUGGCGAAGGCAGGUUACUGGGCAGUUACUGACGCUGAGGAGCGAAAGCAUGGGUAGCGAACAGGAUUAGAAACCCCUGGUAGUCCCAUGA
rnacentral:rRNA from 1 species